UAAACCAUAGGCUUACAGUCUGGGUAUUAGUGAUGUGUCCGUGUAGGCUCAUCACCUGUAACAAAUGCACCACUGUUGUCGCGGAUGCUGAUAGUGGGAGGGAGGAAGGAAAGAAGGAAGAGGAAGCCAGCCAGCCAGGAGCCUGGACAGGGUCGGGGCGAGAGAGCAGGUGGCAUUAUGAAGGCUCUGGGUGGCUUCACCGAGAAGGCAGAAAGGGUCAAAAGAGGAAUUGCUUUUUGGAUUCAAACAUGGCCAACUGGUUGCUGAUAUGGCAGAUAAUACCUUAGGACCCAGUGACACGGUCAUCUUAGAGUUCACGAACCAAGGAAGGGAAUGCUGGGAAUGGUCUGGCAUGGAAAGUGAUAGUCAGACCCUCAGAGACAAGACAGGUCAAGAGCAGACCUUGAGGAACAUGGCAGCUUCUUCUAGCCAAAGGGCUGGUCUUUGGAGGAAGGAUUCGAUUUACUCAUAGUAACUCCUAAGGAAAGAAUUGAAAACAGGGGCUGACUGUUACAGGGAGGCUGGUUUCUGUUCAACAAAUGAAAGAAGUUCUAACCAUUAAGACAGCUUUCCUUCAGAUUAUUUCCCCAUAGACUACUCUUCCACUGGAUAUUAUUAGCAUGCACCAUGGGCCAAAUUUAGGAAUCUCUGGGUUAGACAAA